rnacentral:sRNA from 1 species
AGCGCGCGUUUGGUGGGAGGGUGAGAACCCUCGACAGGGUUCGUGCCGAGCGGCCAGCGGCCGCGACGCCCUGCCGGCAACGCCGGCAGCCCCGAAGGGGCGAGCCGCAACGCGGCGAGGUAUCCCUCCCUCUCCGCCA